rnacentral:rRNA from 1 species
GAUGAACGCUGGCGGCGUGCCUAAUACAUGCAAGUCGAGCGAACGGACGAGACUCUUGCUUCUCUGAUGUUAUCGGCGGACGGGUGAGUAACAUUUGGAUAACCUACCUAUAAGACUUGGAUAACUUCGGGAAACCGUAUCUAAUACCGGAUAAUAUUUUGACCCGCAUUGUUCAAAAGUGAAAGUCGGUCUUUCUGUCACUUAUAGCUGGCUACGCGCUGAAUUAUUAAGUUGGUAAGGUAACGGCUUAACAACGCAACGAGUCAUAGCCGACCUGAGAGAGUGGUCGGCCAGACGGGAACUGAGAAACGGUACAGACACCGGAGGGAGGAAGCAGUAGAGAAUCUUACGCGAUGGGCGAGAGGGUGACAGAGCAAAGCCGCGUGAGUGAUGAAGGUCUUCGGAUCGGAAAACUAUGUUAGUAGGGAAGAACAAAAGUGUAAGUAACUGUGAACAUAAUGACAGUACCUAAACAGAAAGCCACGGCUAACUACGUG